rnacentral:rRNA from 1 species
GACGAACGCUGGCGGCGUGCUUAACACAUGCAAGUCGAACGGUGAAGCGCCUUCCUUUUUGGUUGGUGUGGAUGAGUGGCGAACGGGUGAGUAACACGUGAGUAACCUGCCCCCUUCUUCUGGAUAACCGCAUGAAAGUGUGGCUAAUACGGGAUAUUCUGGGUCUGUCGCAUGAUGGGUCUGGGAAAGAUAUUGUUUCGGUGGGGGAUGGGCUCGCGGCCUAUCAGCUUGUUGGUGGGGUGAUGGCCUACCAAGGCGGUGACGGGUAGCCGGCCUGAGAGGGUGGCCGGUCACACUGGGACUGAGACACGGCCCAGACUCCUACGGGAGGCAGCAGUGGGGAAUAUUGCACAAUGGGCGCAAGCCUGAUGCAGCGACGCCGCGUGAGGGAUGGAGGCCUUCGGGUUGUGAACCUCUUUCGCCAGUGAAGCAGGCCUGCCUCGUUUGUGGGUGGGUUGACGGUAGCUGGAUAAGAAGCGCCGGCUAACUACGUG